rnacentral:rRNA from 1 species
UACGAAGGGGGCUAGCGUUGCUCGGAAUUACUGGGCGUAAAGGGCGCGUAGGCGGUCAUUUAAGUUAGAGGUGAAAGCCCAGGGCUCAACCCUGGAAUAGCCUUUAAUACUGGAUGUCUUGAGUUCGGGAGAGGUGAGUGGAAUGCCGAGUGUAGAGGUGAAAUUCGUAGAUAUUCGGCGGAACACCAGUGGCGAAGGCGACUCACUGGCCCGAUACUGACGCUGAGGCGCGAAAGCGUGGGGAGCAAACAGG